rnacentral:rRNA from 1 species
AUUGAACGCUGGCGGAAUGCUUUACACAUGCAAGUCGAACGGCAGCACGGACUUCGGUCUGGUGGCGAGUGGCGAACGGGUGAGUAAUGUAUCGGAACGUGCCCAGUCGUAGGGGAUAACGUAGUGAAAAUUACGCUAAUACCGCAUACGAUCUAUGGAUGAAAGCGGGGGAUCGCAAGACCUCGCGCGAUUGGAGCGGCCGAUAUCAGAUUAGGUAGUUGGUGGGGUAAAGGCCCACCAAGCCAACGAUCUGUAGCUGGUCUGAGAGGACGACCAGCCACACUGAAACUGAGACACGGUCCAGACUCCUACGGGAGGCAGCAGUGGGGAAUUUUGGACAAUGGGCGAAAGCCUGAUCCAGCCAUUCCGCGUGCAGGAUGAAGGCCCUCGGGUUGUAAACUGCUUUUGUACAGAACGAAAAGGUUUCUACUAAUACUAGGAGCUCAUGACGGUACUGCAAGAAUAAGCACCGGCUAACUACGUGCCAGCCGCCGCAGUAA